rnacentral:tRNA from 1 species
GCCGGGAUGGUGAAAUUGGUAGACACGCAAGACUUAAAAUCUUGUGAGCAUUAGCUCGUGCGGGUUCAAGUCCCGCUCCUGGCACAA